UGGGAGAGAGUGGUGGAGCGGCUUAGAGUCUGGGUCAUGGCCUGCCUUGUGCUGCUGGGCCGCCGUUCCAUAGGCAGCAGGGGCACGACAUGAGAGAGCUCGUCCAUCAUGUAGCGGGUCUCCAGGACGAGACAGACCCCAAACUUCCAGCUCGCCCUGAACUUCCUCUGGUUCAACUUCAGAUUUCAUCAAUUCUUGGACAUCAACAGCCACAAAAUAGAAAAGAUAAUACAAGGAAUCUACGAAAAAUUUAUUGUACAUUCUGAUCUCAGAAAAGCUGCUAUUUGGAAGAGAUUAACUGAAGAAUUCCUAAAUGCAUCACUUUUGAGCAUUAACAAAGUAAAGCUCGUGUGUAGAGGGUGAUGUCCGCAAAGAAAAGCAGCCCUGGGUGGAACCCUGUGGUCGGUUUCUGCUCUGCUGCAUGGUCAAGGUCAAGAAGGGCCGCAGGAGGCAGAUGCGAGAACUGUUUCUCUGCUCCAACGUGCUGUUCAUUUCCAAUACCAAAUAUGAAGACAGAUUCAAGAUUAAGUAUUCAGUGCCCCUGGAAACCCUGUGGGUGUCUGACUGCCUGGAGAAGACUGGGAGAGCCAACAGCAGGGCCAGGAGAUCCCUAGUUCUAGGCUGGCCUAAUUGCAGCAUCGUGAUCUCCUUUUAUUCUCUUCGAGAUAAGGAGGAAUGACUUUUUUGUCUGCACAGGACUCCGAAGAGGAUGACCGGGUGUCUAUGGAUUCUGUGAAAAACAAGACCCCAGAUGCUACAGGGCAAGGACACUCACAGGGAAAUGAGGCAGGUCACUUGCCAAUGGGACCAGAUGAUUCCACCUCGGCUUCUACUCUCAAGAAUUCCUUCAGUCUGGAUCUGAUGUCUGAAAACACCCCAGAUGUCCUUGAUGGGGGUGACUUCGCUACCUGGACCACUUUCCGAUCUGUCACCAUUCGCUGCCGAUACCAGGGCAUCUUGGUGGCCAUGGACCAGAGGAAGAAUGCUAUCACUACCUCCACCCUCAGAGAUCCAGAAAACAACUGGCGUGACUAUCUGUGUGUGACCCCUGAACAGGAGGAGCAAGGGACUGUACUGUCCCUCUGGGCCUCUGCUCAAUCGCGGAGUCUGUCAGGGCCUGUGGGGAUGGGCUGGCUCCCAAGGUGCCUCUGUAUGACAACUAUGCCCUGCGCCACCCCAUCUUCCCACUCCACAUGGCAGAGGAGGACCUCAUGGAACAAAUCAGUCUGCUUCUGCAGGGAAAGAACGAUGCGGUCAGCCCCUUCAGCCUCUCUGUCACCACCUGUCUGAUCAUCUACAGGCUCAUGGGGUUCAUCAGCACAGAUUUCCAGAAGCAGAGCCUCGCCAUCCCAGAGUCGUAUUUCUCUUCAAGGACUUAGUCAAAUUUGAAUCCAGUCUUCAGCUGUGAAUUUUCUAUCACAAAAAAUGGAUUUGAGACACCUUCAUCUCAGGCACUAGUGGAGAUUCUCUGUGCCGACUUGGAUAUAUGGAAAAUGAGCUUCAAGCAGAAAUCUCAGCUCAUCUACUCUCCCAUUCUUCUAGCAACCCUUAUCUCCUCAUUAGAGAAAAAAAUUCUCCACAAAUUUCUCCUCUAUCCUUCAAUAUUAUAUCAUUCACAGUAUAGUACAGUAUAGUAUAAUAUAUUAUGUUAUAUUUUAGCGGUAAAUAAAUGAUAUUCUAUAACUCUGUGCCUUAAAUGACU